GACGAACGCUGGCGGCGUGCUUAACACAUGCAAGUCGAGCGGAAAGGCCCUGCUUUUGUGGGGUGCUCGAGUGGCGAACGGGUGAGUAACACGUGAGUAACCUGCCCUUGACUUUGGGAUAACUUCAGGAAACUGGGGCUAAUACCGGAUAGGAGCUCCUGCUGCAUGGUGGGGGUUGGAAAGUUUCGGCGGUUAGGGAUGGACUCGCGGCUUAUCAGCUUGUUGGUGGGGUAGUGGCUUACCAAGGCUUUGACGGGUAGCCGGCCUGAGAGGGUGACCGGCCACAUUGGGACUGAGAUACGGCCCAGACUCCUACGGGAGGCAGCAGUGGGGAAUAUUGCACAAUGGGCGGAAGCCUGAUGCAGCAACGCCGCGUGCGGGAUGACGGCCUUCGGGUUGUAAACCGCUUUCGCCUGUGACGAAGCGUGAGUGACGGUAAUGGGUAAAGAAGCACCGGCUAACUACGU
rnacentral:rRNA from 1 species